UUUGGGCUAAAUCGGUUUGAAAGUCCCAAGACUGGCUACCCACUGAAGCUAAGCAGGGCUGAGCCUGGUCAGUACCUGGAUGGGAGACCUCCUAAACUAGGUUGCUGCUGGAA
rnacentral:rRNA from 1 species